CAAUGGCCGCCCGGAGCUGCGGCCGGCGCCGGCGGGGCCAACGGCAGGAACCCGGAGGCAGACGGCCGGCGGAGGCCCCCGGCGGAAAGCGGCCGCUCCCUCAGCUCUUUAGAGCUUUCGAAGAUGAGCUUUAUUGAGUUUGUGCCAUCAAGUUCACCCGGUUAGGGUAUUCGAGUCUGUGAAUUUUUUAGUCAACUUACAGAGAGGUGCGCAGCCCUCGUCACGAUCCGCUUUUAGAACCCGUCAGCCCGAAAAGGACCGCCCCUGCCGGCGCCGGCGACCGGAACAGCGCCGACUCGCAGGCCUGCCUGCUCCUCCGCAGAUCCCCGCACGGCACCUACAGUCCUGACGAGACGGAGAGCUCACGUGGCCCACUCCAGAUCCUCUGGCUUCUCCCACUGCUUCCCCAGCAAGAUCCAAACUCGCUGCCGUAGCCAGCGGGAGCCCCAGGAUCCGGCCCCCUUGGCCUCCGUCGCCUGCCGGGACUUGGUUGCUCCAGCCGCCCCCCCGCCCCCCCUCCCGGCUUCUCUUCUCAGGUCGCUGCGCUUGAACCUCGAGUCCUGCCUCGGCCCGGAACUCCCGUCUAGACCUCCAAGCUCAGCCCAGAUGCCCCUGCCCCUGAAGCUGUCCCAGACCCCUGGCUAAGAGGGUGUAAUCACUUGGACCACAGAGAUCCAAAUCAAAGAGAAGCAGAAGGGGAAGAAUCUAGUAUUUCUCAAUGCGGUGCAUGUAGUGGUACUCGAGGAAAAAACUAUGUCAUUAGUUACAUGUUUAAUAUGAAUCAGUAAAAAAUAGAACUAGGCUUACAGAUUUACCCUAGAAAAUACAACAACACAUUUGAUCUGUCUGGGAAGUCAGGAGGGACCAUGAGGAAUUCCAUCAGAGUGUGAAGACAGUCACUUUUCAAAAUUAGGCUUACUGACAGUGUAAAAAGUUCAUCUGAAACAUGACUAAAUUUGUCUGGUCCACAAAGAAAACGCAGAGGUUUACCAUGUGGCCAUGAUCGGGUUUGUGGUUGAAGACAUCCAUUCAUCCAGACCCACCCCUGCAUCAUGCUAUCUGUCCUCUAGUAAGGAGCCACAGGAGGAAUUUCUCUCAAGCCUCAACUAGGAAAAACUGUCCUUCAUUGAAAACCAGUUUAUUUUAAAUCCAUGGACCUAUGAUUCCUGUAUGUAAUCACACUUGGGUUUUUUUGUAAACUGAAAACUAAAUUAGGAGUCUACCCUAGCUAUAUGCAAGGUCUUUGGUAUGUGCUUCUUUUCUCUCCUGGUUUUGUUUUACUCUCCUCCCAAUAUUACUUCCCCUCCCUCGGCCUCCACAUCUUUCCUCAUCCAUUUAUUUUGUGUGUGUGUGUGUAUAUAUAUAUACACAAAAUAAUACAUACAUUUUAUAGCAUAUACAUUUUGAAGGCUUUAUGAAUUUUUAAUUCUUUCUUUGGAAUAGGGGAAAUUAACCAACGAGUUCAACAAAAAUAUAUAAAAAUUUGAAGAAAAUACUAACUUUCUAAGUUGGAGAUUUAUCUUGGAGAUCUUUCCAUGCUGGCACAAUGAGGGCAGAGUAGCCGGCUGAAUGGCACUGUCUUAACUUACCUAAUCCUCCUCCACUUCCAAAAUCACAAGGAGGACCACAGUGAGGUGAUGGAAGUACCAGUGUGAGAGUCUCAAAGUGACAGACCUUUGCUAUUAAGGAGGAACACAUCUCCCUUCAUUCCGGAUGAUCAUAAAGGCAAGAAAUUCUAGAGGUGGUUGCAGGACAUAGGGAACAUGGCGAUGGCACCAUUGGCACAUCUACAUUCUCUUGUUCUCAGGACACUGCCAUGUUAAUGUCCAAAAACAUGUGAUAUCUGCUAUAGUGCUAGUUAUACAUCAUAAGCUAGAAGUGCCUUAAAUGCCAUCAGUAAGAGACUAGUCAAACAAUGGUAUCGCCGCACAAGGGAAUACUAUGCAGCUCUUAAAAAAAAUAGGUGAACCUACAUUUAUAUGGAAUUUAUUUUUAAAAGGUAUAGAAUAGAAUAGUAAAUUGCAUGUUAUUAGUGCAUGUGUGUGUACUGUUUUUAAACAAGAGAAUAUCACACACCUCCAUAAGCGGAAAUUAAGAGGCUGCCUCUGAAAAGGCAACUUUGACUGAAAAUUUAUUGUGGGUUUUCUGUUUGUUUUGUAAACUUCAUUAAUCUUUCCCUCAUUUCUUUUUUGUUGUUGUUGUUGUUUUUGGUUUUAAGAUGGAGUCACAAGAAUCAAUACACAGAAACAAACUUCUCUUUCUCCCUUGAAGAAAGGUAAAAUUGAUUCAAGAGCAGAGUGCACAGAUUGCAUGUCAUAUGCUUAUAAUCUGACAGAUAAUGUCUGGCAUGAAUGUUUUGAUUGUCAAAGACUUUACUAACCUGAUGCAUUAUGGGCCAAAGAAGAGUUGGCAUAAAUUUCCACUCGAAUGAGCAGAUGUGCUAAGCAGGAUGAAUUGCGAGAUGCUGAAACCAGAAGAGUCUGGACAAUACACGGGGACUCUGAGAAGGAAUCUGUCUCAGAGAAACACCUUUGCAGACCCCUCUUCAUUCUCACUGUCACAUCCAAUGCAUUCUGAAAGGAAAACGUGCUGUCCCUUUUAAAGUGACUCAACAAUAAAUAAAUAAAUAAAUAA